GACAGAGGUCCCGAGCGUUAGGCGGAAUCACUGGGCUUAAAGCGUGUGUAGGCGGCGGCCUAAGUACCUUGUGAAAUCCCACGGCUCACCCGUGGAACUGCUCGGUAUACUGGGUCGCUUGAGCCACUUAGGGGCUACCGGAACAAAUGGUGGAGCGGUGAAAUGCGUAGAUAUCAAGAGGAACACCUGAGGUGAAGACGGGUUGCUGGGCUGACACUGACGCUGAGUGCGCGAAAGCCAGGGGAGCAAACGGG
rnacentral:rRNA from 1 species